rnacentral:rRNA from 1 species
AAAGGAGCGAUCCGGUGACGGAUGGGCAUGCGUGACAUUAGCUAGUCGGCGGGGUAACGGCCCACCGAGGCGACGAUGUCUAGGGGUUCUGAGAGGAAGGUCCCCCACACUGGUACUGAGACACGGACCAGACUCCUACGGGAGGCAGCAGUGAGGAAUAUUGGUCAAUGGGCUUACGCCUGAACCAGCCAAGUCGCGUGAGGGAAGACUGCCCUAUGGGUUGUAAACCUCUUUUGUCAGGGAGCAACGCCGGCUACGUGUAGCCGGACUGAGAGUACCUGAAGAAAAAGCAUCGGCUAACUCCGUGCCAGCAGCCGCGGUAAUACGGAGGAUGCGAGCGUUAUCCGGAUUUAUUGGGUUUAAAGGGUGCGUAGGCGGAAUGCCAAGUCAGCGGUAAAAUCGCGGGGCUCAACCUCGCUCCGCCGUUGAAACUGGCGUUCUUGAGUGGGCGAGAAGUAUGCGGAAUGCGUGGUGUAGCGGUGAAAUGCAUAGAUAUCACGCAGAACUCCGAUUGCGAAGGCAGCAUACCGGCGCCCAACUGACGCUGAAGCACGAAAGCGUGGGUAUCGAACAGGAUUAGAUACCCUGGUAGUCCACGCAGUAAACGAUGAAUACUAGCUGUUCGGGGCAAAUGAGCCUUGA